GCUCAGGACGAACGCUGGCGGCGUGCUUAAUACAUGCAAGUCGAACGGGGUCCAACCGGUGGUAACACUGGUGAAGACCUAGUGGCGAACGGGUGCGUAACACGUGAGCAACCUACCCCAGAGAUUGGAAUAACAGUGGGAAACCACUGCUAAUACCAAAUACCCUCUAUGUUUCGCAUGAAGUAUAGAGGAAAAGAUUUCUGCUUUGGGACGGGCUCGCGGCCUAUCAGCUUGUUGGUGAGGUAACGGCUCACCAAGGCUUCGACGGGUAGCUGGUCUGAGAGGACGAUCGGCCACACUGGGACUGAGACACGGCCCAGACUCCUACGGGAGGCAGCAGUAGGGAAUCUUGCGCAAUGGGCGAAAGCCUGACGCAGCAACGCCGCGUGGGGGAUGAAGGCCUUCGGGUUGUAAACUCCUUUCAGUGGGAACGAAAAUGACGGUACCCAC
rnacentral:rRNA from 1 species